rnacentral:rRNA from 1 species
AGGACGAAACGCUGGCGGCGUGCUUAACACAUGCAAGUCGAGCGGAAAGGCCCUUCGGGGUACUCGAGCGGCGAACGGGUGAGUAACACGUGGGCAACCUGCCCCUAGCUCUGGGAUAACUCCGGGAAACCGGUGCUAAUACCGGAUACGACCUCAUUAGGCAUCCUUUGAGGUGGAAAGAUUUAUUGGCUAGGGAUGGGCCCGCGGCCUAUCAGCUUGUUGGUGGGGUAAUGGCCUACCAAGGCGACGACGGGUAG